UUUCCUGGUUGUACCCGCAGAAAGAUGGUGGGGGGGAGGAAGCUUUGGUCCGGCAAGCUAAAGAAAUGCAGUGAAAAUCAACCCAAGAGAUAACCCGCCACCUUCAUUUCAAGGAGAAGCUGUGUGGUAUGAAUACUGGAGGUGAAAUUGUGACCACUGAAAUAAACAUGGGAGAGCCAAGGCAUGUGUGGACACAGCAGGCUGGGCUCCAGAGCUCACUUCCCUGGCAGGGUAAAACAACGGAUGGAAAUCUUUAAAAACCAGCCAUCAGGUUUGCCAUCACAGACUUCCAAUACAGCCACCAGACAUGGAUCUUAGGAGCCGCUCUUUACCAACCGCCUUCCUCUAGCAACUGACACUGUGGAAUCCUUCAGGUCUCCAAGGGGAGCCAAGAUCACAGAAUUCUGUGGCCUGUUGUGAGGUCACAGCCUGAUCAGUUGGUGGCCACAGUUGCUCUGGUUUGAAUCCAUACUCUGUACUUCUAGAUUGUAGUAAAGUUUUACCCAUA